ACGACCUUACUUGAACAGGAUCUGUUCUAUAGGUUGUACAACUGUGUCCUUGAGUUCUAAGGAGACAAGAACUAAAGUCUGGUUGAUGAACCACUGCCCUGCGAUUAGAGCGUGAUUAACGGCUCAACGGACAUUAGUCCUGCGGCUGUGGAGGAUCGUUCUCGGUAGGGUAUCCUGCUGGGAUGGUCGCAUGGCGGUCUGACAGACU